AGAGUUUGAGUCCUGGCUCAGGAUGAACGCUAGCGGCAGGCCUAAUACAUGCAAGUCGGACGGGAGCGUUCCCCUCGGGGGAGCGAGAGUGGCGCACGGGUGCGUAACGCGUAUGCAACCGAACCCUUUCCGGGGGACAGCCGGUGGAAAACGCCGGGUAAUACCCCAUGCCGACGGAGGCGGGCAUCCGCCACCGUCGAAAGACCCUGGUCGGAGAGGGACGGGCAUGCGUCCCAUUAGCUGGUUGGCGGGGCGACGGGCCCACCAAGGCUACGAUGGUAGGGGAUCUGAGAGGAGGUCCCCCACACUGGUACUGAGACACGGACCAGACUCCUACGGGAGGCAGCAGUAAGGAAUAUUGGGCAAUGGGGGAACCCUGACCCAGCCAUGCCGCGUGAGGGAGUGAGGCCCUACGGGUCGUGAACCUCUUUUAUUCGGGGAUAACGGCGCGGUCGUGAACCGCGCGUGCAGGUACCGAAUGAAUAAGCAUCGGCUAACUCCGUGCC
rnacentral:rRNA from 1 species